UACUACUACUACUACUACUACUAUUAUUAUUAAUAAUGAGCCUAAGAGUAUAAAAAAUUUUCACCACGUUUAGAAAGAAAAAAAUAUAUAAAAUUUGGUAUGAGAAAUUAUAUCAUUAUUUACACUCGUAGUCCUUAAGUGUGUUUGUUUACAUUUUCUGAACGGCGUAGUGAAGGUGGUGGCGUCCGCGGUGCUAGUGGUGGGGGUGACGCUGGAAUAGACAUUGCCAAUAGGAUGUACCAGAAGACAGUGUAUGGGAUGGCUGCCCGUCUCCCAUUCAGCUACACGGGGGCGGUGGUGCUGGGCUCGAACAUCAGCAGCACCUUUAAGUCCACCAUCAACAUCACACCUCAAAACACACCCAAACACACCCAAAAUCCUUAAAAUACACCAAGAAAAAGACACAUAAUUAAUUAAUGAACCUUUUACCUACUUUAUUAUUAUUAUUAUUAUUAUUAUUAUUAUUAUUAUUAUUAUUAUUAUUAUUAUUAUUAUUAUUAUUAUAAUUAUUUUAUGCUUUGAAUCACAUCAUAAGGCUCUCACUCACUCUCACAUACACACACGCACGCACACACACUCACCGUCACUUCCUC